rnacentral:rRNA from 1 species
AGUAGUUUGAUCAGUGGCUACGAGGACGAACGCUGGCGGCGUGCUUAACACAUGCAAGUCGAGCGAGGUCCAACCGGUGGCAACACCGGGGAAGACCUAGCGGCGAACGGGUGAGUAACACGUGAGAAACCUGCCCCGAAGUUCGGGAUAACCCGGGGAAACCCGAGCUAAUACCGGAUACCCACGAUUGGUCGCAUGGCCGAUCGUGGAAAGAACUUCGCUUCGGGAGGGUCUCGCGGCCUAUCAGCUUGUUGUGGGGUAACGGCCCACCAAGGCAUCGACGGGUAGCUGGUCUGAGAGGACGAUCAGCCACACUGGGACUGAGACACGGCCCAGACUCCUACGGGAGGCAGCAGUGGGGAAUCUUGCGCAAUGGGCGAAAGCCUGACGCAGCAACGCCGCGUGCGGGAUGAAGGCCUUCGGGUUGUAAACCGCUUUCAGUAGGGACGAAAUUGACGGUACCUACAGAAGAAGCCCCGGCCAACUACGUG